rnacentral:lncRNA from 1 species
GUCACUCCCGCGAUAUUCCCCAAAAAGUACUUUGGGGAAUAAUUUUGCGGUUACAACAACAACAACAACAGGCUGGUGUAUUUAAGCGUGAUCCUACUAGGAUUGAAGACAAUCCCCGCAAAGGACAACGACCGCAACCGCAAUUACACCAGAAAUCAUUGAGGAAGUUCAUAGUAUUCUUAGUGAAGAUCCAAGUUCCAUAGGCAUCUCACACGAACGAGUACUUAAUAACUUACAUGAAGAAUUACAUAUGGAAAAGCUGUUUAGAACGUUAGUGCCGCACACGUUAACAAUUCAGCAAAAACUGGAACGACAAAAAAACUCUCAGCAUAUUUUGUAGCGUUUUAAGCAGAAUAAAACCGAUUUCUUGCGUUGUUUUAUAACUAUGGAUGAGACCUAAAUUCACAGUGAUCCUAAAUUCAAACAAAAACGUUUACAGUGAGAUGAAGCUGGUUUUUCAGCUCUCAAGCUGGUGAAGUCACAAUGAUCACCAAAGAAGGUGAUAAAAAAACUCGUGAAAAAAAUACCUGAUUGGCAGCACGAAAUAUCAUCUUUUAUCAAGAUAAUGCACCUGCUGAUAAAGGUGUUUUAAUACUGACAAAAUACGAAAUUAAAAACCUGAAACAAUGCCUGCGUGGAAAGCGUUUGUCGUGGAAUGAAGAAGCUGUUACAACCGUAGACGGGUGUUUUGGGAAGUCAUUAUUGGGAUGGCAUAAAAAAUUAUUGGAGGAUCAUUGGAAUAAGUGUAUUGAAAAACUUUUCAACCAACCUGUAUAUUAUACCCAAAAUCACAAACUUGGCAAGUAUUUGUCAGAACUCAACUUUAAAUAGGAAUCAUUUAAGCCAGACGCAGGAUUCGCUUUAAAUAAAUCUUUGCACGGUUUGUGACCGCACGACUCAUUACGUUCUCUCAAUUUAUAUGGAAUAAAAUCAGAAUACUUGGAAACACCAUGUAUGCAUCGCAGAGAAGAGAUAUGGGAAUCCAUCAAAACUGAUAAGGGAUUUGGGAAAGAAACUAAUGAUGUAAAAGUUUAGUUGGCAAAUUGUUGGUGACAAGGCAAGACAAGAUUUUAGUGAAGGCGACUCCAGACUUUUCUCUACACAAGCAUCAAAAACGCAGUAUUCAUUUGGCAUUAAAAGGGCAAGGAGAGUGAAGCUCAAUAUGGAUACGAAAUACCUUGCAGUGGCAUUAUUAUUUCUACUUUUUAACAUAACAUCGAUAUACGGCAAUGCAAUACCGUUAGUGAAGUCUGAUGAUAUGAAAGUUCAAGAUUUAACGCGGAAGCUGCGAGACACAGAAUGGCAUUUUUCUUCCGAACAAAUCGAGAGUGGAGAUGAAGCAGAAUCAGUAUUCAAUUCUAAAACCUUUGUCAGCAAUAGCCAUACAGAAACACAUUCGUCAUUUAGGUCUUCACAUAACACAUUUAAUAAACAAUCGCAUUCUUCUGGUUAUUAUAAAAUAUUUAAUGUAAGAAAAUGAAGCACUCUUACAAUAUCCAUACUCGUAUGGAAGUCAUUUACGCUUUAGAUAUGUAAAAUAGUUAUGCUUAUUAUAGUUCUUAUGCCUAUGUAUGUAUGUUACAUAAUAAAAAUGAAUUUAUUAUAUGAU